UACGAGGGGUGCAAGCGUUGCUCGGAAUUAUUGGGCGUAAAGGGUAGGUAGGUGGUCUGAUUUGUCAGGGGUGAAAGCCUUGGGCUUAACCCAAGAAGUGCCCCUGAAACGGUCAGACUGGAGUCUUUGGAGAGGGUCGUGGAAUUCCCGGUGUAGCGGUGAAAUGCGUAGAGAUCGGGAGGAACACCAGAGGCGAAGGCGGCGACCUGGACAAGUACUGACACUCAACUACGAAAGCGUGGGUAGCAAACAGG
rnacentral:rRNA from 1 species